GAUGAACGCUAGCGGCAGGCUUAACACAUGCAAGUCGAGGGGCAGCGCGUCGUAGCAAUACGAUGGCGGCGACCGGCGGAAGGGUGCGUAACGCGUGAGCAACUUGCCCGUCACAGGGGGAUAACCGGUGGAAACGCCGACUAACACCCCGUAACACAUUUCGCCGCAUGGCGAGAUGUUGAAAACUCCGGUGGUGACGGAUAGGCUCGCGUGCCAUUAGCUAGUCGGCGGGGCAACGGCCCACCGAGGCGACGAUGGCUAGGGGUUCUGAGAGGAAGGCCCCCCACACUGGGACUGAGACACGGCCCAGACUCCUACGGGAGGCAGCAGUGAGGAAUAUUGGACAAUGGAGGCAACUCUGAUCCAGCCAUGCCGCGUGAAGGACUAAGGCCCUAUGGGCUGUAAACUUCUUUAGACGCAGAGCAAUAAGGGCCACGCGUGGUCCGAUGAGAGUAUGCGUAGAAUAAGCAUCGGCUAACUCCGUGCCAGCAGCCGCGGUAAUACGGGGGAUGCGAGCGUUAUCCGGAUUCAUUGGGUUUAAAGGGUGCGUAGGCGGCUUUGCAAGUCAGCGGUGAAAGGCCCGGGCUCAACCCGGAAAGUGCCGUUGAUACUGUGAGGCUGGAAUGCGGAUGCUGUGGGAGGAAU
rnacentral:rRNA from 1 species